UGGAAGUUCUAAGAAAAAUACGAGGAAACACGGUAUCAGCUCUGUGUAAGGAAAGCGAAUGUUUGAUAAGGGGAAUACACCGAGUAUUUAAUGGAGAAUAUAGUCAAGCCUUUCCUGUGUUUACAGAGUAAGAAAGAAAUGAAAGACUUUCAAGAAAGAGGUUAAAGAGACUGACGAUCUGCUAGAAUUGAAUUCUUCCGAGAAAAUGGCGUUUAAGAACGAUUGCACGGAAGCUAAUUGGAAUGAAUGUAUCACACACAACUUUGAUAAGUAAAGAUUGUUGGAGCCCAUUGAGCGAGCUGCAAUCGGAACAGAUCAGAAUUGUUUAAGGAAGAAGAAAACCCUAACUGUAUCAAAAAGAGAUGAUGGAAGUUCUAAGAAAAAUACGAGGAAACACGGUAUCAGCUCUGUGUAAGGAAAGCGAAUGUUUGAUAAGGGGAAUACACCGAGUAUUUAAUGGAGAAUAUAGUCAAGCCUUUCCUGUGUUUACAGAGUAAGAAAGAAAUGAAAGACUUUCAAGAAAGAGGUUAAAGAGACUGACGAUCUGCUAGAAUUGAAUUCUUCCGAGAAAAUGGCGUUUAAGAACGAUUGCACGGAAGCUAAUUGGAAUGAAUGUAUCACACACAACUUUGAUAAGUAAAGAUUGUUGGAGCCCAUUGAGCGAGCUGCAAUUGGAACAGAUCAGAAUUGUUCAAGGAAGAAGAAAACCCCAACUGUAUCAAAAAGAGAUGAUGGAAGUUCUAAGAAAAGUACGAGGAAACACGGUAUCAGCUCUGUGUAAGGAAACCGAAUGUUUGAUAAGGGGAAUACACCGAGUAUUUGAUGGAGAAUAUAGUCAAGCCUUUCCUGUGUUUACAGAGUAAGAAAGAAAUGAAAGACUUUCAAGAAAGAGGUUAAAGAGACUGACGAUCUGCUAGAAUUGAAUUCUUCCGAGAAAAUGGCGUUUAAGAACGAUGAAUGCAGAACAAAACUGGUCAAUAGUCUGGAAUAACAUUUAACUCGAUAGAACAUCUUAGCAAAAUGAUGCUACACGACACUUGUUUUGUCAUGAAGCAAACAAAAAGGAUUCGUGUUGUUUCUUAGAAGAUGGUUGAAGGAUCCUAAGAUUCCUAGGACAAUUGUUCUGAGGAAUGAUGUCAAAUGCGAAGACGCACAAGAAGAAGAUGCACAAGAAGAAGAUGCAGAAAAAGAAUAUGCACAAGAAGAUGUCAACAAGAAGAUGUUCACAAGAAGAUGAGCAGUGAAGAUGGACUGAAGUACUCUUGAGAAAACGGAAGAUUGUUACUAUAGUCUUGCAUGUACACACAAAAAAGAUUGUGAAUGGAUUAGAAAUUCAGUAUUUGCUGGCAAGUUAUCGGUUCCAAAACGCUCAUUAGAGCAAAUUUUGGUCAUUUCCCAGUGGGUAUGCUUGAUGGCAUUUUGAUACUUUGCAAAAAGUUCCAUCCUUUUGCGCGUUUGGAGAAGUAAGCGUGUAAAGGGUCAUUUGAAGGAUCUAAAGCGCGUAGGUUUUCACGUUGGGCAAGGUAAAGCGGUUACUGGAAUGUCUUUGUGCAUGUAUCGACACUUUCAGUAUUGAACAGUGAUAGGCAACUGUUGGUUCACUCUGUUUAAAUAUGCUUGCCAGCAUUGACUGUAUUUUUUCUCCACCAUAUCAUAGGGGAAAGGUCGUUUGAGCAGCUUUUUCUUAAGCCCAACCAUGUUUUUUUCAAUUUUAAGGUCCAGUUAAGAUGAGGCUUAGGUGCGAAUAGGCUCUAUAGUUAACAUAAUUUCUAAUUUGAUUUUUAUGAAAAUGAUAACUGCUUGUGCUUCAUACCAACAAAGUUUCCCUAAAACAAUUCUUAGUUUACCUAUUGGAAAAGUUUUUAAGGGAGGUAAAAACUAUUUUGCUAAUCACCUAGCCUAUCACUAUUUUUGCUUUAUCAGCUGGAAAAUACUUAAGCAAAAAUGAAGAAAAUUUGUAUAACCGUAUCAUAGGUUCCGCGAUUGCAUUAAGAAUUUAGGCACCUUGAUUUAUUAGAAUUGUUUCCUUACAUCCAUUUCUAUCCAUAACCCUGACCCUUGUGUCGUUGUUUUUUCUAGAUUGUUUUCAACAAGAUCGUAAUAAGGAUAGGAAUCAACAAUCUUUAUUUGCAAAGACAAAUAUCAUGAUUAAGUUUGAAUUUAGGAUCAUGAACUAUUUUGCAAAGAAGAAAAAUUGUAGUAAGUAAGGAAAAGCUGCUUGAAUGACCAACUUAGAACUUCUUACCAGUCAGCUGAAUUUCACUUUAAAGGGAUGGGACCCUCAACUCUUUAGGCUAAAUUGCUGUGACGUCAUGUGUCUGUAACCUGGUGCCUGUGCUUCAAACUGGAUCAAAGAUGUUACACUGAUGUUACGAAACCAAUGUAUGCCUUGCAGCUGGACAGACACCCGCCAUUUACAAUCAGAUUUCAGUUUGGAAAAUAAAAGGAAGUCGUGAAAGAAUUCUUCCCCAGGGAUGUUAACAGGAGGGUCGUGAGAGCAAUUUUGGACAGCAACAAGAAUGGCACCUAGAACUGGUGAACGGACAAAGGCAACAUGGACUAAGGACCACUUGUUCAAAGGAUGUUCAAUUCAUAUACACCCUCUCUUCAACUCUCUCUCUGAUAUCAAACUAUAAUUCUUUUAGUCUUUUCUAACUCGUAUUUCCUUCCAUCUUUCUUUCUAUUAUUUCUUGCCCAAGUUUUUGGUACAAUAAGAUUCAACAUACUUGUCCUAUUGGUAUUUACGCGUCCUAUUGAUGUCUAAAGAAAAGCAAGUGUUCACCAAACAUACGAGAUUUAUUAACAUUUCGUUCAUUUCUCACGUUGAAGUCAGGUGCGAAUAUUUCUUUCCAAUGUUCCAAAUUUUUCUCUUUGGCCUUAUUACCUAGUUCUUUCUACCAAAACGCUUCAAUAUGCUUAUUUCCCCUGAUUCAGGAAAGGUUUCAUUCAGUUAUUAAACAGAGUUCUCUUUUCAUCCUUCGUUUCAAAAUUCUUCAAGGGUUGAAAAUCUCCCUCGAGCAAGACGGGGUUUGGGCAGGGUUUAGUAUUCCCUCUAGUUUUUGAUUACAAGAAUGUCAUGUUUCCCGGGCUCUAGCUUAUUUAUUUCAGGUUUAUGUCUUUUGUUUUUCUACAACACUGUCUCCAAAAUGCUUUCUUCUCUACUUCAUAUGCGACUUUCUACAUCACCCAGCACCAAACCCCUCUAUUACAUCACCAACCAAAAGUCUGAAAGAUAGAAGGAAGCAAGGAUGUACGCCAUCAAAGAUGAAACUCACUACUAUCCUCCAUCGGAAGAGCAUAUUUGUCCGUGCGAACGUGAUUGGACCGUGCGUCACUUUGUCCCUUUUCAUCCCCCAUUUCUUAUCCAUCCAAUGAAAUUUGGAAAAAUGAAGGGUUUCAAAUUCAGCUGAUAGGAGGAAGUUCUUAAUCCAGAAUUCGUUGUUUAUUUUUUUUUUAAAAAAGUAAUUUAAUGCAGGUGCAAAACCCGUAGAAUAGAGCCUAUGGCUGGGGUGGCCCCCGUUUAUAAUACGGUUUCGCUACUGAUACUUUGCCUCACAAAUUUUGGGUUUACGGUAUUCCACAAAUCCCUUCAAGAACCCCGGAAAAAUUUUUUUCUUAUUUUUAAAAGAAAACCUUUUACCCCACAGGAAUCCAUUUUGGCUGCAGUAUUAUCAACGUCAGACUUAAGUGCCUUUUUCUGCAAAAAACCUUUUCUCUAGAACUCGAGAGUGUUCAACUUUUUCCCUAUCUUAGAGAGUUAUUUACAAGUUUAUAUUUGUGCGCCCAAAACAACUUGGGCUUUGACUUCAUCUUUUCCAAAAGCUACCUGUUCCAAUUUCAACAACCCUUUUUUAAUUUCUAGAUUUAUUUCAGUUCCCAAAAUUUUGCCCCACGUUUUUUAAAAAAACCCUGGGGCUCUUUCUUGUCUCAGAAAAGCCGAUCUUCCUAUUAAAAUGAUCUUUGGCUUCCCAAACGUUGGGCAUUUUAAUCCUCAUUUCUCUAGACAAUUUCAAUUAUUCCUUAUUUUCCAAAACUUUUUCGGUUUCCUGGCUUUUCUUGUCCGAUCCCACAGUUUUACCCUGUUUUAUGGGUUUUUGAAAAAAAGCUAAGCCAGAAAGCUCUGUAAUACGGUAUUGCACCUGCAUAGUGUCUGCACAUUCUCUUUACGGCUUCUUGUAUUAGGGAUUGGGAAAAGUGAAUGUUUGUGCGGACACACCCCCACCCCGCCCCGCCGUGCUGGGCCUCUUCCCGCGGAGUGCUCCGACGUCCUGCCUGCGCUGCAAGAUUCUGGUGGUCUCCAGCUGGUCGUUCUCCGCUUCAUCGUGUCUUGCCAUCUCUUCAAGUUUGUCCUUCAUCUCCAAGGUAAGAGGAUUUAUUACCUCUCUUCCACUAUCUCUUUUAUUGCUUGUCAUCUUUGCUUGUAUAUUGUACACAUUUAAUCAGGAUCUAAACUCAUCAUUGGGACAUUAAUACUUAGCUUUGUUUACCUCCAAACACUGGGUGGGGGCAAUGUUUUCGGUGGCUGUUUCAAUGAUAGGUAACUUUAACGGCGAGUGAAUCAUAUUGUAUUAGAGUACUCUCUUUGCUGCAACGAUGUCUUGGUGAAUGGGAGUGCCGCAAUGGAAACGAAAGGCUGCAAUCUAGCAACUAAAAGUGUUGAUCGGGGUUGUGUUGUAAGGAUAGCAAUUUCUGAUCCGUCCUGGCUCUCUAGUCGGGUGCGAGGGAUUUUGGUAUAUGUAGAUCUUUUUAUUAUUAUUUAAUUUACCCUAUCGGUCAAGGGUACGGCGAAACGUUCUGUUGAAUAGGUAACCUUGCAGUUCAUCACGUUUAUGUGCGCCUUUUAUCAUUUAUUAGUGUAAGAAUUUUUCUUUGCAUUUUAUAGGGUUAAAUAAUUAAGUAAUUAUGUAUUAGCAAUUAUUUCAAGUUACAAUAAAAACUAAUUUUAAGUUAUCGUUUUUUAAACUUUUAUUUAGAUUAAUCGCGUAAAAUGCAUUUAAAGAUAUAAAUCAAAAAUACUGAUAAUAAUAAUAAUAAUAACGUUGAAUAAAAGCGAAUAAUGUUGUUGCGUUUAUUGAUAUAAAGAUCUAAGAAUUGAUAUUAUUAUUGAUAAUUUGAUAAUAUUUUGUAAUUGUAAUCGAAAUAAUGAUUAUAAUUAUUAUUAUUGUGACUUUCACAGCUUGUAUUGUUAAAAUGAAAGGUUAGAUCCAAUAAACUAAACAGAUAGUUAUUUCCUGGUGAACUAGGUUUUUUCUUUACAAUAUUCGCAAGUAAUAGCCUCAAGUUAAUAUAAAACUACAAAAUUCAUUGAUGUUUAUCUAAUUUAUUAUUCCAGAAUAACUAGCUUUAAGAUCAAAUUUUGUAAUUUUUCAGGACAGGAGGUUUUUCGGCAAGGUAGUCCUUUAGUUCAAACUAUGUUCAAACAUGCAUGAAUAGAUAAAAAAUUGUAGCACUAGAUGAUAUCUCUAAUCAUUAAACAACUCAAACUUAAAUUAAUCUACUCUAAAUUCACUAAGUAGGCCUAUAAUUAUAUUUGUUUGUAUAAUAUAGCAAUUUAUUCUAACUAGCCCUUUUUAAUAAUAUUUUUAUUUCAACUGUAACUAGUUUCUUUCUCAUCUUAUACCUUUUCUUUUCCUCAACAUUUUUAAAACCAAUUAAUGCUUUUCCUAUUUUUCAAAAAAAUUCCCAUCUAAUUUUUAGCGCUGGUUUCUGUACUAAAUUAGAAAACUUGCAAUCCUUUUUCGUUAAUUUUGCGGUAAACAUUACACGCGAACACUGUUUAAAGUAUACACCUCUUUGGAAAAGUUUUUUAUUCAAACUGUUUUUAGGGUCAAUGAUUUCAGAGUUCGUAAGCCCGGAAAUUUUGUCAAAGUUCCCUUUUCAAUUCCAAAUGUUUUUCGGAUUUUAAUGAUGUAUUUCUUUCUUUUUCUUUAUCCAAAACGUUUUGAAUUCCUGAGAAACUAAAUACUUUUGCAAUUCAGUUUGCUAUACAUCAAGGGUUUUCGUAUUUAUCCGUGGGUGUUAAAAAUUAUUUUUUUUUCAUUCCUGCUUUUCCAAAAGCGAUUUUUACAUCCAUAGAAGGUACAAAAACCUUCUUUGUCAUGAUGUGGAUUAAAAUUGUCUUGUCUUUUCACCACCCUCUGCUGUUAUUUUCUUCUUAAAACUUUUUAAUAAAAUCUAUGUUAAGUAUAACUUCUGAGUUCAUUGUUUGUAACCUGUUUUAGCAAUAUAUUUUUACUGAGUUAUAUUUCUCUCCGCGUUUUAAGUAACCAUUUUAUUUUUUUAUGAUUAGUAUAUUGCGUGAUGAACUGCCGACGCUUAGGCUCUUUUCGACCAUUCGCUGCCAAAUUCCCCCUCGUCCAUAACACUGCAACGGGACGAUUUUUCUGUGUGCUUGGCACGUACCGGGCAAUGACGAGAAAUGCUGGGUGGCGCGUAGACGUUGUGAACAGUGGCCUUACUAGUCAAGUUAUCAAAGUUGCUGGUAGGUAGGCUUUGGUGGUCUUGGUCAACGGGUCUGCAACACCUCUCACAUCUCACACCGAUCAAACUGCAAGGAGUGCGCAUUUUAGCACUGUUUACAAAAAUCCUCAAUUUUUUUCCCUAAAAGCAGUGUGAUCUUUCGGCCGGUUAGGUUGUCUGUUUUAGGUUUGCAGGGCAGUGCCCCCAGUAAGCCAAUGGUGUCUUGCAGCAACGGGGAGAAAUGGUGCAAUAUGAUUUACCCCUCAAAAAUAGGCUAGGUUAGGCCUUAGGAGAUGAGUUUUGGUACUGGUUCUUUGUUGUACAAUAUACUUGUUAAAAUGACGGGCAGUGGAAGAGAUGGUGUAGGAGAAAUUAAAUCCUCUCACCUUAGAGAUAAAGGGCAACCUGGAGAGAUGGUAAGAUGGAUGGAGCGAAGAACGACUGGUUGGGGCUCAUCAGGGUCUUGCAGUGCAGGUGGGGCGUUGGGGCACUCCGUGGGAGAGGCCCAGCAUGGCGGGGCGGGGUGGGGGACCCUUUAUACUUGUAAAAAAAUUUUCGAAGAAAAAUUUUGAACCUUCCCCCUGUGUUUUCUCUCGGAGUGCAGACUGUCCCCCUACUUUUCAUCUUGGAGACGAGCAUGUCCCCCUGACUUUUCAGUCGGAGGCCAGCCUGCUGACUCCGUUGGUAUCCCCGGUAAGCGGUCUUCCCCGGCUCCGGAUGUCCGGAGCCGGGGACUACCGCCCACCGGGAAGCGCAUGCGCCUGUUCGAAUCCCAACUCUUUGUUCCCAUUUUGAAUGACCCAUUGUUUCCGCAUUUCCCAUUGUUUCGCAUUGUUCCAUUGUCCAUCUGUCCAUGUGAUUGCCGCUUGAAUUUUCUGGAGGAAAAACAGCGCUUGAGCCGGGAUUCGAACCCACGACCUUGUGACCUUUGACAUUAGCAGUCACCCACUAAUACCACUGGACCACAAGGCCGCUUGGUAAGCCAGGGUAACAAGCGCUAGUAUAUUUUGCUUUACCAGAGACUGCUGCAAAUUCACCAUUGCUAUACUGUAAUGUAAUUUUUAGAUCUGUUUGCUGGUUAGUAAUGGUGCAUUUAAAUGUUUUUUUGACUAUUUCUUGUAAAAAAAUGAAAUUUUAAGAAUUUUCAAAAUUUUCUUUACUUCAGACUUGUCCACUAUGGUAUGGGCCAUGAAACACCCUGUCAGAUUGAAAUUUUUGGAUACAAAAUAAACCUGUUGGACUUAAAUAAAACUUUGUAAGCUUCAUUGCAACAGUUGUAAAAUCUCUCUAUUAGAUAGAUAAAAUAAAGGGGAAAGAUCCGUGAAGAAAAAACUAAGAUUAAAAGUAGGAGAGGGAUCGAACUAUCUCCAUGGUGACUUUCAACAGGAUUAUCUCUCGGCGUCAACGCGUUGUCAGUGUGUCUUGCUGGAAGAAAAAGACGCGAAAGCUCACCAAGCGUAGAAGAAAAAUAGGCCAAAAAUACCAAGCGGGAUUAAGAAAAUCGAGCAAAUAAUGUAUCGAGCUAAUUUACCCCGGGUGGCUGCAAUGAACCCCAAGCACAGCCCCCACACGCACAGACUGUGUUUAAGAAUAUGAUGUUUAUCAACAAAAGAGAGAAG